AUACGGAGGGUGCAAGCGUUGUCCGGAGUUAUUGGGUUUAAAGGGUCCGUAGGCGGGAAUCUAAGUCAGUGGUGAAAUCUUGCAGCUCAACUGUAAAAUUGCCAUUGAUACUGGAUUUCUUGAAUUAGUGUGAUGUGGUUAGAAUGUGUAGUGUAGCGGUGAAAUGCAUAGAUAUUACACAGAAUACCAAUUGCGAAGGCAGAUCACUAACACUAUAUUGACGCUGAGGGACGAAAGCGUGGGGAGCGAACAGGAUUAGAUACCCCGGUAGUCC
rnacentral:rRNA from 1 species